rnacentral:rRNA from 1 species
AGCGAACGCUGGCGGCAGGCCUAACACAUGCAAGUCGAACGAACCUUUCGGGGUUAGUGGCGGACGGGUGAGUAACACGUGGGAACGUGCCUUUAGGUUCGGAAUAACUCAGGGAAACUUGUGCUAAUACCGAAUGUGCCCUUCGGGGGAAAGAUUAAUCGCCUUUAGAGCGGCCCGCGUCUGAUUAGCUAGUUGGUUGAGGUAAUGGCUCACCAAGGCGACGAUCAGUAGCUGGUCUGAGAGGAUGAUCAGCCACAUUGGGACUGAGACACGGCCCAAACUCGUACGGGAGGCAGCAGUGGGGAAUCUUGCGCAAUGGGCGAAAGCCUGACGCAGCCAUGCCGGGGGAAUGAUGAAGGUCGUAGGAUUGUAAAAUUCUUUCACCGGGGACGAUAAUGACGGUACCCGGAGAAGAAGCCCCGGCUAACUUCGUG